rnacentral:lncRNA from 1 species
ACCCUGGUGGCUGCUGGUUUCCUGGGGAGCAGUGGGACUCUGAAGAGUCUUCUCCAGCACCACAACUUGAAAGCAUCAACUCUUUGGCACUCAGCCUUCUUUAUGGUUCAACUGUGAUAUCCGUACAUGACUACUGGAAAACCACAGCUUUGACUCUACGGACCUUUGACUGGAGGAGCUGCACACCUUGGGAGAUGGGAGAGAUAUGAACGAGAAGGUUAAUGUUUCCGUACACCUCAGAAUCAUGAUGGCUCACGGGAAGCGUGUGUGUGUUUCCUCCUGCAAAUAAGAGGUGCCACAGCCCAGGACGCUGAUUCUCAAUGUACCUAAGAGAUGGCAUGUCAUCCCCACUUUGGACUUGAGGCUGGAGAGGGAUGGGGAGCCAUUGGCGUGGGGCACCCAAGGGAGAGAAGGUCUCAAACUCUUCCGUGGAGCUGGGCAGCCUGGCUUAAAGAAAAACAGUAACUAGUUUCUUGGUU